UUAGCGGCGGACGGGUGAGUAACACGUGGAUAACCUACCUAUAAGACUGGGAUAACUUCGGGAAACCGGAGCUAAUACCGGAUAAUAUUUUGAACCGCAUGGUUCAAAAGUGAAAGACGGUCUUGCUGUCACUUAUAGAUGGAUCCGCGCUGCAUUAGCUAGUUGGUAAGGUAACGGCUUACCAAGGCAACGAUGCAUAGCCGACCUGAGAGGGUGAUCGGCCACACUGGAACUGAGACACGGUCCAGACUCCUACGGGAGGCAGCAGUAGGGAAUCUUCCGCAAUGGGCGAAAGCCUGACGGAGCAACGCCGCGUGAGUGAUGAAGGUCUUCGGAUCGUAAAACUCUGUUAUUAGGGAAGAACAUAUGUGUAAGUAACUGUGCACAUCUUGACGGUACCUAAUCAGAAAGCCACGGCUAACUACGUGCCAGCAGCCGCGGUAAUACGUAGGUGGCAAGCGUUAUCCGGAAUUAUUGGGCGUAAAGCGCGCGUAGGCGGUUUUUUAAGUCUGAUGUGAAAGCCCACGGCUCAACCGUGGAGGGUCAUUGGAAACUGGAAAACUUGAGUGCAGAAGAGGAAAGUGGAAUUCCAUGUGUAGCGGUGAAAUGCGCAGAGAUAUGGAGGAACACCAGUGGCGAAGGCGACUUUCUGGUCUGUAACUGACGCUGAUGUGCGAAAGCGUGGGGAUCAAACAGGAUUAGAUACCCUGGUAGUCCACGCCGUAAACGAUGAGUGCUAAGUGUUAGGGGGUUUCCGCCCCUUAGUGCUGCAGCUAACGCAUUAAGCACUCCGCCUGGGGAGUACGACCGCAAGGUUGAAACUCAAAGGAAUUGACGGGGACCCGCACAAGCGGUGGAGCAUGUGGUUUAAUUCGAAGCAACGCGAAGAACCUUACCAAAUCUUGACAUCCUU
rnacentral:rRNA from 2 species